AAGACUAUAGACCUGCGGAGUACCUGCGGAGGGAUCAUUACUGAGUUUUAUACUCUAUCACCUCUGUGAACUUAUCUGUUGCUUUGGCAGGGAGCCAGCUUCAAGGCUGCUAAUUGUCAGGAGAGGGCCUUUUUUGGCUACUACCCUGUGCCCUGCCAAAGGUGUUUUAAAUCAUAUUUUUUAGUGACUUUUCUGAUAAUCUUAUAAUAAAUAUAAACUUUCAGCAACGGAUCUCUAGAU
rnacentral:misc_RNA from 1 species